rnacentral:tRNA from 1 species
GUGCCCGUAGCUCAGCUGGAUAGAGUGCCUGACUACGAAUCAGGAGGCCAGGGGUUCGAAUCCCUUCGGGCACGCCA